UUAUUCACCCUGAUUCUAUUGACGUAAUGCAGGUCUGCAUCAGUAGCUGCAGCAACUGCCAUCCAAAGUGAUGCUAAUGAGGAUAAUUUGGCUUCUGCUUUAAGUGAUGAUGCUGAGAAAAAUGAUGUUGAAGAGAUCGAUGAUAGUUCGGAAAAUGAAUCCAGGAUACCACCAGGGCGGAAGAGGGCUGUUCCAAGGGGAAGAGGUAGAGGAUCUACACAGUCUUCUAAACGUGGAAGAAAAUCAGAUAAUUCUUCAAUCCAUAGAAUGCUCAUGAACGAUGACGACGAUGAUGAUGACGAGGAUAUCAUAAAAAGAUUAAAUAAGUCACAACCUCGGGUUACGAAAAGCUAUGGAGCUCUAAGAAGGUAAACAGUCCCGAUGACAAGAUAAAUAAUGUCAUACGUUGAAUCAUUAUCUACCUUGUAUAAAUAAAAUAUUGAGUGAGUCUGUCAAGUGUCAACUAACUUAUAACGUCUUACUGAGAUUUGAAGAUACAUCAUUUAGGCAAAAUGGAAUUAAAUUAAGUAGCUAUAUGUUGGCAUAGGAAGAGGAAAGCAAACCAUGUGAGUUACUUCAGAAUAGGUUCUGCAGUCUUCCAAAUAGUUUAUGUUUCUUCAAUGCAUUCUUUGCUAUUUUCUCUUACCAUUCUUUCUUUUUAGGCACCACAGUGCCAUUCAAGUUUGACACAAUUGAUUGAUGUUUUAAGUGAAAGAAAGCUGGAGCUUAUAAUUA